rnacentral:rRNA from 1 species
AUGGCGUUGUCCAGGGCGCAGACGAACUCCGGCGAGUCGCUCAUCUCCUCCACCUUCGCGUCGCGCUACGUGCGCACCGCGCUCCCGAGGUUCAGGAUACCGGAGCAGUCCAUCCCCAAGGACGCGGCGUACCAGAUCAUCAACGACGAGCUGAUGCUGGACGGGAACCCGCGUCUGAACCUCGCCUCCUUCGUCACCACCUGGAUGGAGCCCGAGUGCGACAAGCUCAUCCAGAAUUCCGUCAACAAGAACUACGUCGACAUGGACGAGUACCCCGUCACCACCGAGUUCCAGAACCGGUGCGUCAACAUGAUCGCGCAUCUCUUCAACGCGCCCAUCGGGGAGGACGAGACGGCCGUCGGGGUGGGCACCGUCGGCUCCUCGGAGGCCAUCAUGCUGGCCGGGCUGGCCUUCAAGAGGAAGUGGCAGAACAAGAUGAAGGCCGAGGGCAAGCCCCACGACAAGCCCAACAUCGUCACCGGCGCAAAUGUCCAGGUGUGUUGGGAGAAAUUCGCGCGCUACUUCGAGGUUGAGCUCAAGGAGGUGAAGCUCAGGGAAGGGUACUACGUCAUGGACCCCGCGAAGGCCGUAGAGUUGGUCGACGAGAACACCAUCUGCGUCGCCGCCAUCCUCGGCUCCACACUCAACGGCGAGUUCGAGGACGUCAAGAUGCUCAACGACCUCCUCGUCGCCAAGAAUGCAGAGACAGGGUGGGACACGCCGAUUCACGUGGACGCGGCCAGCGGCGGGUUCAUCGCGCCCUUCAUCUACCCGGAGCUGGAGUGGGACUUCCGGCUGCCGCUGGUGAAGAGCAUCAACGUCAGCGGCCACAAGUACGGCCUCGUCUAUGCCGGCGUCGGGUGGAUCAUUUGGAGGAACAAGGAGGACCUGCCCGACGAGCUCAUCUUCCACAUCAACUACCUCGGCGCCGACCAACCAACCUUCACGCUCAACUUCUCCAAAGGUUCGAGCCAGAUCAUUGCACAGUAUUAUCAACUCAUCCGUCUCGGAUUCGAGGGCUACAAGGACAUCAUGCAAAAUUGCCGGGACAACGCAGCGGUGCUCCGGGAGGGAGUCGAGAAGAUGGGCUACUUUCACCUGGUGUCCAAGGACUCGGGCGUGCCGCUCGUGGCUUUCUCCCUCAAGGACUCGUCCAAGUACACGGUGUUCGAGGUGGUCGAGAGCCUGCGCCGUUUCGGCUGGAUUGUUCCGGCAUACACCAUGCCCGCCGAUGCCGAGCACAUCGCCGUCAUGCGUGUGGUCAUCCGCGAGGACUUCAGCCGCGGUCUCGCCGAGCGCCUCAUCACCGACCUCCACAAGGUCAUGGUGGAGAUGGACGCGCACGCCAAGAAGCAUGGGCAUCACGAGCAUGUGAAGAAGACAGCACACCAAAUCGAGAAGGAGGUGACCACCUACUGGCGGACCUUCGUUGCGAGGAAGAAGCACAGCCUGGUUUGCUGA